rnacentral:rRNA from 1 species
CAGUCGCCGCGGUAAUACGGAGGUGGCAAGCGUUGUCCGGAAUUAUUGGGCGUAAAGGGCUCGCAGGCGGUUUCUUAAGUCUGAUGUGAAAGCCCCCGGCUCAACCGGGGAGGGUCAUUGGAAACUGGGAAACUUGAGUGCAGAAGAGGAGAGUGGAAUUCCACGUGUAGCGGUGAAAUGCGUAGAGAUGUGGAGGAACACCAGUGGCGAAGGCGACUCUCUGGUCUGUAACUGACGCUGAGGAGCGAAAGCGUGGGGAGCGAACAGGAUUAGAUACCCGCGUAGUCCCUGUCUCUUAUAC